rnacentral:rRNA from 1 species
GUCGAGAAUCAUUCGCAAUGGGCGAAAGCCUGACGAUGCGACGCCGUGUGAGCGAAGAAGGCCUUCGGGUUGUAAAGCUCUUUCGCUUAGGAACAAGAGAGGCUGGCUAAGAUCCAGUUGAUUUGAGCGUACUAGGUAAAGAAGCACCGGCUAACUCCGUGCCAGCAGCUGCGGUAAUACGGAGGGUGCAAGCAUUAAUCGGAUUUAUUGGGCGUAAAGGGCGCGUAGGCUGGAGAGUAAGUUAGACGUGAAAUCCCGGGGCUCAACCCCGGAACAGCGUUUAAAACUGUUUUUCUAGAGGAUAGGCGGAGGAAACGGAAUUCCACAAGUAGCGGUGAAAUGCGUAGAUAUGUGGAAGAACACCGGUGGCGAAAGCGGUUUCCUAGCUUAGACCUGACGCUGAUGCGCGAAAGCAAGGGGAUCAAACAGGAUUAGAAACCCUAGUAGUCC